rnacentral:rRNA from 1 species
GUGGGGAAUCUUCCGCAAUGGACGAAAGUCUGACGGAGCGACGCCGCGUGAGUGAAGAAGGCCUUCGGGUCGUAAAGCUCUGUCAUCAGGGUCGAACGGCCGGUGGAGUGGAAAGCCACCGGAUUGACGGUACCUGAGAAGGAAGCCACGGCUAACUACGUGCCAGCAGCCGCGGUAAUACGUAGGUGGCAAGCGUUGUCCGGAAUUAUUGGGCGUAAAGCGCGCGCAGGUGGGAUCUUAAGUCCAUUUUUAAAGUUCGGAGCUCAACUCCGUGAUGGGAUGGAAACUGGGAUUCUUGAGUACCGGAGAGGAAAGCGGAAUUCCCCGUGUAGCGGUGAAAUGCGUAGAUAUGGGGAGGAACACCAGUGGCGAAGGCGGCUUUCUGGACGGUGUCUGACACUGAGGCGCGAAAGCCAGGGGAGCGAACGGGAUUAGAAACCCGGGUAGUCC